rnacentral:rRNA from 1 species
UUUUAUUUUACGGUUUGAUUAAUUUUACUUAGAAAAUUUAUUUUUAGUAGUUUGAGCGAUAAUUGGAAGAUUUCCUAUAGGGUAAUAAGUACUGUGAGGGAAAGUUGUUUUAAUUUUUUGAAAUACUAGGUUUUUUAGUACCUUUUGUAUUAGGGUUUAUUAAUGUUGUGUUACGUUUGUUUUUUCUCGAUUAAUAUCGGGCUAUUUUUUCUUUUUUUAUUCUCGUUGUAUAGGGUUGAAUAGGUAAAUUAUAGGUAUGAAAUAUUAUUCAAGUUAUUUUUUAUCUAGUUUCUUAAGAGAUUUAAUAGAUAAUAAUUUUAUUAGUGCAAUAGAUAGGGAUUAGCUUAUUUAUUUUUUAUAUGGUUGUGUUUUUAUUAUUUGUUUGUUGAGUUGAUAGUGCUUAUUUAAAUGAAGUUAUUAUUGAGCAAAAGUUUUUUUAUAAUUUUAGUGUUUUAUUUGUAUAUUAGGGCUAAGUUUUUAAUUUUUAAAGGUUGGUGAUAAUGAUUGAAUUAGUAAUAUUGUCUUAAUUGUUUAAUCUGGGUUCUUAGGUUUAGGUUUGUGUGUUUUGGAUGUAAUUCUAAUUAGAAAUGAUGAAUUAGGCAAAUUUGAUCUCUGACUGUUUAGCAAAAACAUUGUUUUUUGUUGGGGUAAAAAAUAAUUUCUGUCCACUGCCAUUAAGGGUGAAGGGCUGCAGUAUUUUGACUGUACGAAGGUAGCAUAAUCAUUAGCUUUUUAAUUGGGGGCUGGUAUGAAGGUGAAACAGGGAUUUGCUGUAUUAUUUUUAUUGGUUGAAUUUUAUUUUCAUGUGAAAAAUCAUGAUUGUUUUAAAGGGACAAGAAGACCCUAAUAAAUUUUAUCUUUUUCUUUAAUGCGUGCAUAGUACUGAUUUGUGCAAUUUAUUUUUAUAGGGUUUAGCUGGGGCGGUGCUUUAUUUAACAUAAAUUUAUUUUUAACUUAGUGUGGCGUGAUUCAGACCUAGAUUGUUUAGAUGUUCGAAUAAUUACUGUAGGGAUAACAGCGUAAUUUUGUUUGAGAGUUCUUAUUGACAAUAAAGUUUGCGACCUCGAUGUUGGAUUAAGAAGAGC